AGUGAACGCUGGCGGUAGGCCUAACACAUGCAAGUCGAACGGCAGCACAGUAAGAGCUUGCUCUUACGGGUGGCGAGUGGCGGACGGGCGAGGAAUACAUCGGAAUCUACUUUUUCGUGGGGGAUAACGUAGGGAAACUUACGCUAAUACCGCAUACGACCUACGGGUGAAAGCAGGGGAUCUUCGGACCUUGCGCGAUUGAAUGAGCCGAUGUCGGAUUAGCUAGUUGGCGGGGUAAAGGCCCACCAAGGCGACGAUCCGUAGCUGGUCUGAAAGGAUGAGCAGCCACACUGGAACUGAGACACGGUCCAGACUCCUACGGGAGGCAGCAGUGGGGAAUAUUGGACAAUGGGCGCAAGCCUGAUCCAGCCAUACCGCGUGAGUGAAGAAGGCCUUCGGGUUGUAAAGCCCUUUUGUUGGGAAAGAAAAGCAGCAGGUUAAUACCCCGCUGUUCUGACGGUACCCAAAGAAUAAGCACCGGCUAACUUCGUG
rnacentral:rRNA from 1 species